CUUGUUCCUGUAUAUUUGGCUGCAUGCUUUGCUUUGUCGAAAUUGACCUUUUUUGUGAGUAUUGAAGGCAUAAGGUGAAUUGUUAAGCGGGCGAAAAUGGACUAUGUUAAUGGACCUGGAAGGAACCAUUUGUUUGUUCCGGGACCUGUUAACAUCCCGGAACAAAUUCUUCGUGCUAUGAACCGGAACAAUGAAGAUUACAGGUCCCCGGCUAUUCCGGCUAUGACAAAGACCUUGCUUGAGGAUGUGAAGAAGAUUUUCAAAACUACUAGUGGAACUCCAUUUCUGAUCCCAACUACAGGUAUAUCAGUAUGUUGUUUAUCUAAAUCUUUAUCGUCGUGUUAUUUGCAUCCAAACUAGUUGAGAAAAUGGAGGAGAAAGAUCUAUAUAGGCGAUACCAAUCAGUUGAGGUUAAGUCUUAGUUAUGUCAGUUAAGAACUCCCACAUCCAAAAGCUGAAGGUGGCGGAGAUGCGAAUGUUGUGAUGGAUGUGUGGACAUACCAGGAAAGGAAAGGUAGGGUGAGAAAUGAGAUUAUUCGGGAGAAGGUGAGAGUGGCUUCGGUGGAGGAUAAGAUGCGAGAAGUGAGGUUACGUUGGUUCGGGCACAUGAUGAGGAGGGGCUCAGAUGCUCCAGUGCGGAGGUGUGAGACACUAGCUAUGGAUGGUUUUAGGCGGGGUGGAGGUAGAUCGAAGAAAUAUUGAAGGGAGGUGAUUAGGCAUAAUAUGGAGCAGUUACAACUUACAGAGGACAUGACCCUUGAUAGGAAGGUGUGGAGGACGCAAAUUAGGGUAGAGAGUUAGGGGGUGGGAGAGCGUCGGUAACAAUAAGGGAGCAUUCUUUUGUGUCUGUAGUUUCUUAUUUGUGGUGCUGUGUGAUGUCUAUGAUUUCGAUAAUACUUAUUUUUUUCUUGUGGUUGUAGUAUUAUCUUGUUGCUGGCGGUGUUAGUUUAUUUUCCACUUAUCUUUUGUGUUUGUUAUACUGUUAUCGGUUCUAAGCCGGGGUCUAUCGGAAACAGUCUCUCUUCUUCACCUGAGUUAGUGAUAUGGUUUGCGUACACUCUACCCUCUCCAGACCCUAUACUAUGUGGGAAUACAUUGGGUAUGUUGUUGUUGUUGUUGAAAAUAUAGGAUGUUCUAAUACUUUUGCUUGAACAGAACAAACAUGGUCAGUAUGGAUUCAUAUAGCCGACCUCAACUUGCUUGCGACUGAACCAUACUUGUUCUUUUGUUGUAUUACGAUGAAUCUUUUCAAAUUGAUCAUGUCCAUCCUCUGCAACAUCAUCGAUAAUGUAUAAUUUUAAGUAGUUAUAGGAUUUCUUCGUGGCUCAACUGUCGAACUUGUGAUGGACAAACCUCAUACUGUUUCCAUGUGGCAGGAAC
rnacentral:lncRNA from 1 species